rnacentral:rRNA from 1 species
AUUGAACGCUGGCGGCAGGCCUAACACAUGCAAGUCGAACGAGCGGCGGACGGGUGAGUAAUGUAUGGGGACUGCCCGAUAGAGGGGGGUAAAUACUGGAAACGGUCGCUAAUACCGCAUACUAUCGGAUAACCCAUAUGGGAUUAGCUAGUAGGUGGGGUAAAGGCUCACCUAGGCGACGAUCUCUAGCUGGUCUGCGAGGAUGAUCAGACACACUGGGACUGAGACACGGCCCAGACUCCGACGGAGGCAGAAGUGGGGAAUAUUGCAAAAUGGGGGAAAGCCUGAUGCAGCAAUGCCGCGUGUAUGAAGAAGGCCUUAGGGUUGUAAAGUACGUUCAGCGGGGAGGCGUUACCCGCAGAAGAAGCACCGGCUAACUCCGUGCCAGCAGCCGCGGUAAUUC